GAUGGACGCUGGCGGCGUGCCUAAUACAUGCAAGUCGAGCGAACGGACGAGAAGCUUGCUUCUCUGAUGUUAGCGGCGGACGGGUGAGUAACACGUGGAUAACCUACUUAUAAGACUGGGAUAACUUCGGGAAACCGGAGCUAAUACCGGAUAAUAUUUUGAACCGCAUGGUUCAAAAGUGAAAGACGGUCUUGCUGUCACUUAUAGAUGGAUCCGCGCUGCAUUAGCUAGUUGGUAAGGUAACGGCUUACCAAGGCAACGAUGCAUAGCCGACCUGAGAGGGUGAUCGGCCACACUGGAACUGAGACACGGUCCAGACUCCUACGGGAGGCAGCAGUAGGGAAUCUUCCGCAAUGGGCGAAAGCCUGACGGAGCAACGCCGCGUGAGUGAUGAAGGUCUUCGGAUCGUAAAACUCUGUUAUUAGGGAAGAACAUAUGUGUAAGUAACUGUGCACAUCUUGACGGUACCUAAUCAGAAAGCCACGGCUAACUACGUG
rnacentral:rRNA from 1 species